GAGUUUGAUUCUGGCUCAGGAUGAACGCUAGCGGCAGGCCUAACACAUGCAAGUCGAGGGGUAAGGAGAGCUUGCUCUCCCUAGACCGGCGUACGGGUGCGUAACACGUGUACAAUCUACCUUUUACUAAGGGAUAGCCCGAAGAAAUUUGGAUUAAUACCUUAUAGUAUUAUUUUAUGGCAUCAUUAAAUAAUUAAAGCUACGGUGGUAAAAGAUGAGUACGCGUCCCAUUAGCUAGUUGGAGUGGUAACGGCACACCAAGGCUACGAUGGGUAGGGGUUCUGAGAGGGAUGUCCCCCACACUGGUACUGAGACACGGACCAGACUCCUACGGGAGGCAGCAGUGAGGAAUAUUGGACAAUGGUCGGAAGACUGAUCCAGCCAUGCCGCGUGCAGGAUGACGGCCUUAUGGGUUGUAAACUGCUUUUAUACAGGAAGAAUAAGGUCUACGAGUAGAUUGAGGGACGGUACUGUAUGAAUAAGCNU
rnacentral:rRNA from 1 species